CUGGCUAACAUAACUAAGCUCCAAGUUACCGGCCGCCUUUUCUGCAGCCCCUCUGGCAACCUUCCAGCACCCGGCACUACUUAUAUUUAAAUCAACAAUCUUAAUUAAAACAUUUCAUAUUAAUUGUGACGUUAUUAUAUUAUAAAUUUUUUGUAAACAAUUAUGUACACCGGGCACUAUUCUGAUUCAAGCACUUGCAAUAUCAUGCGAUUACAUUCAGACCAUUCAGCAAGUGCUGUACAGAUGUACGGCACCCAUCAAUAAACCUAACUAAAAAACUCUAUAAAUUAAUCAGGGCUCUCCACAAUCAAAAAUAUAAGCAAACAUCUUAUUCUUCCAAUGCCUUAUCACAACUCAGCCGCCAGGCCCGUGGUAGCAACACUGGUAUUGCUAUUUGCAUCAUGGCCGCUAGGCCAUGCACUGCUAGAGCCAGGUACAAAUCUACUGGCUAACAUAACUAAGCUCCAAGUUACCGGCCGCCUUUACUGCAGUCCCUCUGGCAACCUUCCAGCACCAGGCAGCGGCAGCCUGGGGGCUGGUGGAACGCUUGUUAGUGGUUCUUGCAACGGUGCUACUGGCGAUAUUGGCACGACAGCAUUAAGUAACACGGGACUUCUUCGAGCUGUUUAUUCUCUGCCAUUCAGUAAUUUAUUUGAUUCAGUGGCCGGAUCGCCAUGCAAUUUCACCGUGAAGCUUCCUGCCGCCGGAACCACUUGUGAAAUGUUUCCGCCCAGAGGAGUCCUCAAAGCAGGUAUUAAGUUGGAUCGUCUAAAUGUUGAUGCGGCAGGUGAGAUAAUGGCCGAAGCUGGCUUGUUGCCCUUUCGGUAUCUGCCGGAUGAGUAGCCUGCCUGAUCAGGCCAACUUAAUUAUGUAUAAUAAAUUUAUACAUAUAUAUGACCAUAUGCAAGUCUAUUCGUGCUGCUUGGGAUGCCACUUCUGUUGUGAAAAGUAUAAGUAUAUUAUUGAAGCUUUGCAGGUUUCUGAUAAUAAUAUACAGAUAACAUUUGAAUUUAAUAGAAAGAUUCAUUAUAUCAUAA
rnacentral:lncRNA from 1 species